UCUUCCUGCAAUGAGUCGUGCUUUGACGCUUUUGCCUUCCGAUGGCAGUGUCCUGCAGAAGCACUCCCCCUGCCCCUGGGGGUCCCGCUGAAAUCGACGAUCCAGCGGUUGAAAAAAGAGGUCUUUCACCUGACAAAGAAGUUAAAGAAGACGGAAGUCGAGCUCCGCAAAUCGAGAGAAGGUCACUCUGAAGCCGCCGCUGAGGCCGCCCACUUUCGGAGUCUCCAUGUGNNN
rnacentral:lncRNA from 1 species